rnacentral:lncRNA from 1 species
CCAACUAGACAAUAACAUACGGAGUACAUGAUAACUUCAAAUUUCUUUUUUAUUUUAAAACGGAGCAUAGAAAGAGUCCAAAUUAUAAUUUCUACCUAAACAUGACCUCUAUCUCAUCUGAUAAUCGCACGGAUUAGCUAAACGUGAGGGCUUUUUGAUGAUUGACGGAAAAAUGAGAUCUGUGGAAUCCAUAGUGGAGGAGCUACCACCGUCUUCUUCUGCAAUAAUCGCACGGAUUAGCUAAAGGUUAGGGCUUUUUGAUGAUUGAUGGAAAAAUGAGAUCUGUGGAAUCCAUAGUGGCGGAGCUACCACCGUCUUCUUUCGCAGGAGCGGUGUUCGGAGCAGGAGGCGGUGGUAGUUGGUUGUACGGUUGGCUAGUA